GACGAAGGGGGCUAGCGUUGUUCGGAAUUACUGGGCGUAAAGCGCGUGUAGACGGUUGUUCAAGUCAGGUGUGAAAGCCUUGAGCUCAACUCAAGAAAUGCACUUGAUACUGGAUGACUAGAGGACCGGAGAGGAUAGUGGAAUUCCCAGUGUAGUGGUGAAAUACGUAGAGAUUGGGAAGAACACCAGUGGCGAAGGCGGCUAUCUGGACGGUUUCUGACGCUAAGACGCGAAAGCGUGGGGAGCAAACAGG
rnacentral:rRNA from 1 species